UAUGUGAUCGUCUCUCGCAUAUCAAUAAGCGGAGGAAAAGAAACUAACAAGGAUUCCCCUAGUAACGGCGAGUGAAGCGGGAAGAGCUCAAAUUUGAAAUCUUAAAGGGUUUCCCUUUACGAAUUGUAGUUUAAAGAAGUGUUUUCUGUUGAGGUUUUGGUAAAAGUUCUUUGGAAUAGGACAUCAUAGAGGGUGAGAAUCCCGUAUUUGACCUUUACUUUCAACUUUGUGAUACACUUUCAAAGAGUCGGAUUGUUUGGGAAUGCAGUCCAAAAUGGGUGGUAAAUUUCAUCUAAAGCUAAAUAUUGGCGAGAGACCGAUAGCGAACAAGUACCGUGAGGGAAAGAUGAAAAGAACUUUGAAAAGAGAGUUAAACAGUACGUGAAAUUGUCAAAAGGGAAGCGUUUGACACCAGUGUUGUUUUUCUGAAAAUCAAUUAAAGAACUGUUUAUGCUAAGUUGUUUAGACUUUAUCAGCUAUACUGUUUAGUUUUGAGCUUUUCUUUAAUGCACUUUUCAGUUAACAAGUCAACAUCAAUUUCUUUUGCUGUAAAAAAGCUUGAGGAAGGUGGCUUGAGAUUCGUCCUUAAGUGUUUAUAGCCUCUUGCCUAUGCAGUCGGAGAGAUUGAGGUCUGCAGCGUAGAUCCUUCGGGGCUAAAUGCAUUUGUGCUAAGUUAUAGCAUUUUAUAGACAACUUGUUGACUAUGAUUUGUCUUGUAGCUUACUCGCUUAUGUUAUUUUACCUACGCUUAGGAUGUUGAUCUACAGAGCGAGAGU
rnacentral:rRNA from 1 species